AUACGGAGGGUGCAAGCGUUACUCGGAAUCACUGGGCGUAAAGCGCGCGCAGGCGGUCUUUUAAGUUGGAUGUGAAAGCCUACGGCUCAACCGUAGAACUGCAUCCAAAACUAUUAGACUAGAGUGUGAGAGAGGAAGAUGGAAUUAGUUGUGUAGGGGUAAAAUCCGUAGAGAUAACUAGGAAUACCAAAAGCGAAGGCAAUCUUCUGGAACACUACUGACGCUGAGGCGCGAAAGCGUGGGGAGCAAACAGAAUUAGAAACCCUGGUAGUCC
rnacentral:rRNA from 1 species